AUUGAACGCUGGCGGCAGGCUUAACACAUGCAAGUCGAGCGGGGGAAGGUAGCUUGCUACCGGACCUAGCGGCGGACGGGUGAGUAAUGCUUAGGAAUCUGCCUAUUAGUGGGGGACAACAUCCCGAAAGGGAUGCUAAUACCGCAUACGUCCUACGAGAGAAAGCAGGGGAUCUUCGGACCUUGCGCUAAUAGAUGAGCCUAAGUCGGAUUAGCUAGUUGGUGGGGUAAAGGCCUACCAAGGCGACGAUCUGUAGCGGGUCUGAGAGGAUGAUCCGCCACACUGGGACUGAGACACGGCCCAGACUCCUACGGGAGGCAGCAGUGGGGAAUAUUGGACAAUGGGGGGAACCCUGAUCCAGCCAUGCCGCGUGUGUGAAGAAGGCCUUAUGGUUGUAAAGCACUUUAAGCGAGGAGGAGGCUACUCUAGUUAAUACCUAGGGAUAGUGGACGUUACUCGCAGAAUAAGCACCGGCUAACUCUGUGCCAGCCGCCGCCGUAA
rnacentral:rRNA from 1 species